UAAGGAAUAUUGGGCAAUGGACGCAAGUCUGACCCAGCCAUGCCGCGUGAAGGAUGAAGGUCCUCUGGAUUGUAAACUUNUUUUAUCUGGGGCGAAAACCGGUUAUUCUUANCCGCUUGACAGUACCAGAUGAAUAANCACCGGCUAACUCCGUG
rnacentral:rRNA from 1 species